rnacentral:rRNA from 1 species
UACAGAGGGGGCAAGCGUUAUUCGGAAUUAUUGGGCGUAAAGGGCGCGUAGGCGGCUUGGCAAGUGGAUGGUGAAAUCCCUCGGCUUAACCGAGGAACUGCCAUCCAGACUGCUUUGCUUGAGGCCGGGAGAGGUGAGUGGAAUUCCCAGUGUAGCGGUGAAAUGCGUAGAUAUUGGGAGGAACACCAGUGGCGAAGGCGGCCUUCUGGACCAAUACUGACGCUCAUGCACGAAAGCGUGGGGAGCAAACAGG